rnacentral:rRNA from 1 species
CAGACGGGUGAGUAACGCGUAAAGAACUUGCCCUUUAUACUGGGAUAACAGAGGGAAACUUCUGAUAAUACUGGAUAAGUUAGUAUAUCGCAUGAUAUGCAAAUGAAAGCUACGGCACUAAAGGAGAGCUUUGCGUCCUAUUAGCUAGUUGGUAAGGUAAGAGCUUACCAAGGCGAUGAUAGGUAGCCGGCCUGAGAGGGUGGACGGCCACAAGGGGACUGAGAUACGGCCCUUACUCCUACGGGAGGCAGCAGUG